rnacentral:rRNA from 1 species
GCCCAGCCGUAAAAAUUAACUCUCUCCCACUAGCGCCUGGGUAUUACGAGCGCUAGCUUAAAAUCCAAAGGACUUGACGGUGUCCCACCCACCUAGAGGAGCCUGUUCUAUAAUCGAUAAUCCUCGUUAUACCUCACCAUUUCUCGCUUUUCAGCCUGUAUACCUCCGUCGUAAGCUUACCGUAUGAAUGUCUAACAGUAGGUUAAAUGGCUUCCUACCGCCAAUACGUCAGGUCAAGGUGCAGCCAAUGAAAUGGGAAGCAAUGGGCUACAAUUUCUAAUUUAGAACAAACGGAAUACUACAUGAAACAUAGUCAUGAAGGCGGAUUUAGUAGUAAAAGGAAANUAGAGUGUUCCUUUUAACNNAGGCUCUGGGACGUGUACAAACCGCCCGUCACCCUCUUCGAUAGUAAAUAAACUGUUCUUAACAUCAUCUAAGCGUCUUAGAAGAGGCAAGUCGUAACAUGGUAAGUGUACUGGAAAGUGCACUUGGAUUAA